AGGAGGGCAGAGCCUGGGUGGGGCCUGUCCAGGCCGCAGUCCUCCUUCCUCCCAGUCCGCGCCCCCAGGACGUAGGGGGCCCCAACUGAGUGCAAAGGCCCGGACAGGGGCCUGAGAAAAGGCCAACGGUGCAGCUCCUGCCCUGGGAGCUUCCUGUCUUUCUGGAGGGCCCGGCCUCGAAGGAAGCGCGCGGAGGAGGCACGUACUGAGCCCAGACUGCAGGCCGGGCCCUGCGCCAGCCUCGCAGAUGAGGACCUGAAAACAGAGAGGUUAAGUCACUUGUCCAAAGCCACACAGUGGUCUUUGUCCUCUGCAGUUCUCCAGGGAUGUCUCAAAAGAUCCCUCACAGCUCAUGCUCUUGGCCCCCGGGAGUCCUCCUCUUUGCUGUCCCGUGCUGUCCCUGAGGCUCCCUGUCACUUACUUGAGUGAACCGGAGAUGCGCAGCUGUGGCAGCCACUUCAGGAGGCACCUGAGCCCGUCAUCACCCAGCUGGUUGGCAGAGAGGCUGCAGGAGCUCUCUUGAACUCUAAUAAGUCCUAAGCUGAACUCCUAACAGCUCUGGAAAGACUGCACUGUACUAGCUGUGUGACCUUGGACAAGUCCUUCAACUCUCUGCACCUCAGCUCGCCCACGUAUAAAAUGGGGGUGAUAGUGCCCAGGUCCGUUGGAAGGAUGGAAGAAUGUCUAAGGAUAAAAGAAUAUCCACUUAGAACAGUGGAGCAAGUGCUCCACAGGUGUUAGCCAUUAUUAGUAUUUUUCUGCCCGUGCGUGGGCUAUACUGUAUGGGCACCCAAGACUGGCCACACCUCUCAAUGGUACCAAGACUGGCCACACCUCUCAAUGGUGGGUCCCCACCUAGCUGGCUCCCGAACCCUCCGCAGGCUGAGGCAUUUGGUGCUUUCUACCCCCUGCCAGGCAAGCUGGUGGAUCCUUCCUGUGAGUGCCCAUCAGCCAGUAGUAGAGCUCCAUUGUCUUGAAUGCCUUGACCAACGUGAGGCCAAGGAGCUCCUGGGGCCCUUGUUGAGGGAUCGAGGGCAUGCUCUGAGUUAGCUCCACCGGGGCAGGAGUGAGGGGUUGGGAGGGACAAAAUGGGUGCAGGGGAACUUUUAGGAUGUGAUCCAGAGUCCCGGGCACCCCGAUAGCUGGUCCCGAGAAGUGCUGAGUGCACACACACAUGGAGACACACACACACACACACACACCACCCUCCAGUGCCCUCCAGGUGCGUGCUCCCAAACUUCUGUGCCUGCUCUCCCCCUCCACCCACCACC